rnacentral:rRNA from 1 species
UACGUAGGGACCAAGCGUUGUUCGGAAUACUGGGCGUAAAGCGUGCGCAGGCGGUUUUGUAAGCCAGAUGUGAAAUCCCCCGGGCUUAACCUGGGAACUGCAUUUGUGACUGCAAGGCUGGAGUGCGGCAGAGGGGGAUGGAAUUCCGCGUGUAGCAGUGAAAUGCGUAGAUAUGCGGAGGAACACCGAUGGCGAAGGCAAUCCCCUGGGCCGCACUGACGCUCAUGCACGAAAGCGUGGGGAGCAAACAGG